rnacentral:rRNA from 1 species
UACGUAGGCAGCAAGCGUUGUUCGGAGUUACUGGGCGUAAAGGGUGCGUAGGCGGCUCUAUAAGUAUGGUGUGAAAUCUCCCGGCUUAACUGGGAGGGUGCGCCGUAGACUGUGGGGCUAGAGUGUGGGAGAGGAAAGUGGAAUUCCUGGUGUAGCGGUGAAAUGCGUAGAUAUCAGGAGGAACACCGGUGGUGUAAACGGCUUUCUGGGCCAUAACUGACGCUGAGGCACGAAAGCGUGGGUAGCAAACAGG